rnacentral:precursor_RNA from 12 species
AGGCUGCAUUUUGAGCUGCUGAAGUCCCACUAAACGCUCUGGAGCCACAUUGUUUAUAUUAUUCAUUGAACAAUGUGUCUCAGAGUGUAGUGGGCCCCUAGCACCAACAUCAUCUUCCCUG